UACGUAGGGGGCUAGCGUUGUCCGGAUUUAUUGGGCGUAAAGAGCGUGUAGGCGGCCAGGUAGGUCUGCUGUGAAAACUCGAGGCUCAACCUCGAGACGUCGGCGGAAACCAUCUGGCUAGAGUCCGGAAGAGGAGAGUGGAAUUCCUGGUGUAGCGGUGAAAUGCGCAGAUAUCAGGAAGAACACCAGUGGCGAAGGCGGCUCACUGGCCCGGUACUGACGCUGAGAUACGAAAGCGUGGGGAGCAAACAGG
rnacentral:rRNA from 1 species